rnacentral:lncRNA from 1 species
CAGGGAUACGUCAGAUUUUCAGUCGGCGGUAAUCCCCAGAGGGGAGCUUCACGCGCAUCUCCCGCCCUUUGGCUCCUCAGCCAAGCAUACACCCCGCAAGACUGGACACAGUGAAAAGGCAGCCUUUGGCAACCAUAAAGAAGGCCCUCACCAGGAACCAAUGAUGCUGGCACCCCGAUUUCAGAUUUUCAGCCUCUAG